rnacentral:rRNA from 1 species
CCCUUAGAUGUCCUGGGCCGCACGCGCGCUACACUGAGUGUCUGAGAUACGAGUCUGCCUGGUCCGGCAAGGUCUAGGUAAUCGCUAAAAGACACAUCAUGCUUGGGGUAGAUUAUUGCAAAUAUUAAUCUUGAACGAGGAAUUCCUAGUAAGCGCAAGUCAACAGCUUGCGUUGAUUACGUCCCUGCCCUUUGUACACACCGCCCGUCGCUACUACUGAUUGGAUGUUUAAGCGAGAUUCUCGAACUGCUAGCGACUUAGCUUCGGUGAGGUCGCAGUGUGGGAAGUGAACCUAGCUUUGGUGUCUAGAGGAAGUAAAAGUCGUAACA